GCUGGGCAUGGUGGCGCGUGCCUGUAAUCCCAGCUACUCAGGAGGCUGAGGCAGGAGAAUUGCCUGAACCCGGGAGGCGGAGGUUGCGGUGAGCCGAGAUCGUGCCAUUGCACUCCAGCCUGGGUAACAAGAGUGAAACUCCAUCUCAAAAAAAAAAAAAAAAAGAAAAGACAGAGUCUUGCUUUGUCGCCCAGGCUAGAGUGCUGUGGCGUGAUCUCUACUUAUUGUAACCUCCACCUCCUGGGUUGAAGUGAUUUUCCUACCUCA
rnacentral:sRNA from 1 species